rnacentral:tRNA from 1 species
GCUCCCGUAGCUCAAUGGAUAGAGUGGCGGCCUCCGAAGCCGUUGAUGGCUGUUCGAAUCAGCCCGGGAGCA